AACGAACGCUGGCGGCAUGCCUAACACAUGCAAGUCGAACGAGACCUUCGGGUCUAGUGGCGCACGGGUGCGUAACGCGUGGGAACCUGCCCUUAGGUUCGGAAUCACUCCCCGAAAGGGGUGCUAAUACCGGAUAAUGUCUUCGGACCAAAGAUUUCUCGCCUUUGGAUGGGCCCGCGUUGGAUUAGCUAGUUGGUAGGGUAAAAGCCUACCAAGGCGACGAUCCAUAGCUGGUCUGAGAGGAUGAUCAGGCACACUGGGACUGAGACACGGCCCAGACUCGUACGGGAGGGAGCAGUGGGGAAUAUUGGACAAGGGGGGAUGGCCUGAUCCCGCAAUGCCGGGUGAGUGAUGAAGGCCGUAGGGUUGUACAGCUCUUUUACCCGGGAUGAUAAUGACAGUACCGGGAGAAUAAGCACCGGCUAACUACGUG
rnacentral:rRNA from 1 species